UACAGAGGGUGCGAGCGUUAAUCGGAAUUACUGGGCGUAAAGCGUGCGUAGACGGUUAUUUAAGUCGGGUGUGAAAGCCCCGGGCUCAACCUGGGAAUUGCAUUCGAGACUGAAUAGCUAGGGUACGGUAGAGGGAAGCGGAAUUUCCGGUGUAGCGGUGAAAUGCGUAGAUAUCGGGAGGAACACCAGUGGCGAAGGCGACUACCUGGCCUGUUCUUGACGCUGAGGCGCGAAAGCUAGGGGAGCAAACGGGG
rnacentral:rRNA from 1 species